rnacentral:lncRNA from 1 species
GUUUUUGCUUCUGUUCAGUAAUGCAUUGCUAGUUACUAGGGGAGGCUAGGGAUAACAAGCCAGUAAUUAGUAAUAGGCUCUUUUCGCUGAGGGAUCGGGUUAAGGGUAGGCCAAGAAAGUUUGCAUAACAAUUAGAUAACAAAGCAAAUUAAAUAAGAGGAUAGAUAAGAGAGAGUGGAUAAGAUGAAAUUGUAAACCCCAACAACUCCAUUCAACCAUAGUCUUUUUCGUCAAUUGAAUCAAUCACAUUUGCAUGUUUAUUUUGUGUCUUUGCAUUCCAAACAAUUAAAUUCUUUUUACAAGUCUUCCGAUUUCAAUUCGCACGAAUGAUAAGGCCUUUCGAGUCUCUUGGGAAGAACGAUAUUGGGUUUUACGAUUAUAUUACUUGAAACGAUCUGGUACAAUUGCCAGAGAGUCAACAAUAAGAUGAAAUUGUAAACCCAACAACUCCAUUCAUCCAUAGUUUUCUUUUAGCCAAUUGAUUCACUGCAUUUGCAUG